GAUGAACGCUGGCGGCGUGCCUAAUACAUGCAAGUCGAGCGAACAGAUAAGGAGCUUGCUCCUUUGACGUUAGCGGCGGACGGGUGAGUAACACGUGGAUAACCUACCUAUAAGACUGGGAUAACUUCGGGAAACCGGAGCUAAUACCGGAUAACAUAUUGAACCGCAUGGUUCAAUAGUGAAAGGCGGCUUUGCUGUCACUUAUAGAUGGAUCCGCGCCGUAUUAGCUAGGUGGUAAGGUAACGGCUUACCAAGGCAACGAUACGUAGCCGACCUGAGAGGGUGAUCGGCCACACUGGAACUGAGACACGGUCCAGACUCCUACGGGAGGCAGCAGUAGGGAAUCUUCCGCAAUGGGCGAAAGCCUGACGGAGCAACGCCGCGUGAGUGAUGAAGGUCUUCGGAUCGUAAAACUCUGUUAUCAGGGAAGAACAAAUGUGUAAGUAACUGUGCACAUCUUGACGGUACCUGAUCAGAAAGCCACGGCUAACUACGUGCCAGCCGCCGCGGUAA
rnacentral:rRNA from 1 species